AUGACCGUGUCUCCGAUGUCUUCAGCGAGGCGUUUGAGACCAAUAAUCAUUGUCGACUUUCGCCAAUUGGAUUCCCUGCUUGCGAACAGAGAGCGGCUUUAUUCGCGGCAACUUUCGGGAUCACAGUUAAGAUCCUGGUUUGGCAUAUCUCAAUUCAGCUUCUGCAACAAUCCAAGGCAAUUUGGGACGGCCUCACUGAUUCCUUUGACGAUGUCCUCGAUUUUCAGUCCUUAUUAUUGUUUCUAA